rnacentral:rRNA from 1 species
AUGGACGAAGUCUGACGGAGCACGCCGCGUGAGUGAUGAAGGUUUUCGGAUCGUAAAGCUCUGUUGUUAGGGAAGAACAAGUGCGAGAGUAACUGCUCGCACCUUGACGGUACCUAACCAGAAAGCCACGGCUAACUACGUGCCAGCAGCCGCGGUAAUACGUAGGUGGCAAGCGUUGUCCGGAAUUAUUGGGCGUAAAGGGCUCGCAGGCGGUUUCUUAAGUCUGAUGUGAAAGCCCCCGGCUCAACCGGGGAGGGUCAUUGGAAACUGGGAAACUUGAGUGCAGAAGAGGAGAGUGGAAUUCCACGUGUAGCGGUGAAAUGCGUAGAGAUGUGGAGGAACACCAGUGGCGAAGGCGACUCUCUGGUCUGUAACUGACGCUGAGGAGCGAAAGCGUGGGGAGCGAACAGGAUUAGAUACCCUGGUAGUCCACGCCGUAAACGAUGAGUGCUAAGUGUUAGGGGGUUUCCGCCCCUUAGUGCUGCAGCUAACGCAUUAAGCACUCCGCCUGGGGAGUACGGUCGCAAGACUGAAACU